rnacentral:rRNA from 1 species
GAAUCACGCUGGUGGCGUGCGUAACACAUGCAAGUCGAACGGGAAAACGGGGGCAACUCCGUGAGUAGAGUGGCAGACGGGUGAGUAACACGUGAACAAUCUACCCUUGAGAGGGGAAUAACCCCGCGAAAGCGGGGCUAAUACCGCAUAACAUCUCUGAGUCGCAUGGCUUGGGGAUCAAAGGCUUCGGUCGCUCAAGGAGGAGUUCGCGGCUGAUUAGCUAGUUGGUGAGGUAACGGCCCACCAAGGCGACGAUCAGUAGCCGGCCUGAGAGGGCGUACGGCCACACUGGAACUGGGACACGGUCCAGACUCCUACGGGAGGCAGCAGUGGGGAAUUUUGCGCAAUGGGCGAAAGCCUGACGCAGCAACGCCGCGUGGAGGAUGAAGGCCUUCGGGUCGUAAACUCCUGUCAGGGGGGACGAAACGCCCGGCAACGGGCUUUGACUGUACCCUCUGAGGAAGCCACGGCUAACUCCGUGCCAGCAGCCGCGGUAAUACGGAGGUGGCAAGCGUUGUUCGGAAUUACUGGGCGUAAAGGGCGCGUAGGCGGCUAGGCAAGUCAGGUGUGAAAGCCCCGGGCUUAACCCGGGAAUUGCAUCUGAAACUGCUGUGCUUGAGUUCUGGAGGGGGUAGUGGAAUUCCCAGUGUAGCGGUGAAAUGCGUAGAUAUUGGGAGGAACACCUGCGGCGAAGGCGGCUACCUGGACAGAAACUGACGCUGAGGCGCGAAAGCUAGGGGAGCGAACGGGAUUAGAUACCCCGGUAGUCCUAGCUGUAAACGAUGGGUACUUGGUGUUGGGGGUAUUGAGUCCCCCAGUGCCGGAGUUAACACGUUAAGUGCCCCGCCUGGGGAGUACGGUCGCAAGACUGAAACUCAAAGGAAUUGACGGGGGCCCGCACAAGCGGUGGAGCAUGUGGUUCAAUUCGACGCAACGCGAAGAACCUUACCUGGGUUUGACAUGUGCAGGACCGGUGAUGAAAGUCACUCUCCCUUUGGGGCCUGCGCACAGGUGCUGCAUGGCUGUCGUCAGCUCGUGUCGUGAGAUGUUGGGUUAAGUCCCGCAACGAGCGCAACCCUUGCCCUCUGUUGCUACCGGGUCAUGCCGGGCACUCUGAGGGGACUGCCCCGGUGAACGGGGAGGAAGGUGGGGAUGACGUCAAGUCCUCAUGGCCUUUAUGUCCAGGGCUACACACGUGCUACAAUGGUCAGGACAAUGGGUCGCUCCCUCGCAAGAGGUUGCCAAUCUCAAAAACCUGGCCCUAGUUCGGAUGGUCGGCUGCAACUCGCCGGCCUGAAGCUGGAAUCGCUAGUAAUCGGAGAUCAGCACGCUCCGGUGAUAUAUCCCGGCGUUGCACACCC